rnacentral:rRNA from 1 species
CCAGCAGCCGCGGUAAUUCCAGCUCCAAUAGCGUAUAUUAAAGUUGUUGCAGUUAAAAAGCUCGUAGUUGAAUUUCUGUUUAGGUAAUCUCUUGCGGCUUCGGCCAGCAGGUGGAUGAACCUAAACAUUUUUUCAACGCCUGCACUGCACUUAACUGUGUGGUGUGUGGCUUGGAUCUUUUACUUUGAAAAAAUUAGAGUGUUUCAAGCAAGCAUCCGCUUUGAAUACUGCAGCAUGGAAUAAUAUGAUAAGACUUUGGUCUUAUUUGUUGGUUUCUAAGGCCGAAGUAAUGAUUGAUAGGGACAGUUAGGGGCAUUCGUAUUUAACUGUCAGAGGUGAAAUUCUUGGAUUUGUUAAAGACGAACUACUGCGAAAGCAUUUGCCAGGG